rnacentral:lncRNA from 1 species
UCACAAUUGAGUUUGCUGCUACUUGGAUUAGUUGCUUGCACUCUCACCUUCUAAUGUUGCUUGACUUAUUCUAGGUUAAGGAAUUAUCAACAGUGAAGUGUCUUAGUAGUUAGUACAACAUUUUUUUAAUCAUGAAAAUUGAAUGUUGGUGACGAAUGCCUUAUAUGAGAAUAGAGGAUCAGAAUUCAACACAGACUGUGGUUAGAGUUGUACGGAUAGUACUGGUGAUGGAAAUCUCUUUGAUUGCUUACAUGGACAACUGCAUCAAACGCCACAGUGGUUAAUAAGAGAAUAAAAGUUUGCUAAAGCAUAUGAAGUUAGAAAGAGUUGUAUGUUUACACUUCUCAAAAAUGUUGCUGUCAGAUUGAGCAGAAGAGGCAUAUGUGAAACCAGGAUUUUCCAGAGAAAUCCAUCUUAAACAUAACCAUAAACAUCAAGCCUGUCCUAACUCCCAACUAUCUGGGUCUGGCUUAAUUUGAAUCUUCAUAGUUUAAUGUGCUUUUUAAUGAGUGGCUAUCAAUCUACUGUCAACCACCACCCCUUUAAUCUGGACUUAUGACCAGCUUCAGUGGUUUCAAAGAAGUCCAUCAUUAACAAGAAAAUUUAGUUUGAGCUGGCAAGGUUAACAAGGAUGAACCAUAUUUAUCCCAUUAAGAGGACAUUCUAAGUAAUAAGGUGUUACAUGGACUGAGAGAAAGUAUUUUAAUUUUUGUGAAAUGUUGAAAAGUGGAGAUAACGAACCAAGGAUUUAAAAGUCAAGGUAUGGACGUGUACCUCUCACUAGCUAGUAUUGUAUGUAUCAGGAUACAGUGCAGCACAUGCUGGAUCAAGUGAACAAUAGAUCAUGGUUUGAAUGGGUGAUAGGGGCAGUUUGGAGCGACAUGGUUUGGUAGAUGCAGUUAGUGCAGGGUCUAGGGCAUGCAAAGGGUAUUUGCACCUGUCCAUGUUUAGUACAUAUGAUGCUCUUAAUCCUUGUAACAGACCAUUGACCAUAGUCAUUUGUGUCUUGACUACAAAAGCCAGCAAUGAAACUUACUCCAGUAAAAAUAAGCUGUCCAUUUCUAUCUGAUUCAGUCAGGUAAGUGAUGGCUGAGAAUUAAGGAAAAUUUGAUACAUGGAAUGGUAAGGAGACAUGAAAUAACCUUGUUAGGUUCAGGAAAGGCAGAAAAUGAAGGGCAAUUUGGGGCUGAAAUUUUAAACUAAAUGAUCUGAUAGUAGCAUUGCAUUGUUUACAGGCAUAACAUGAUCUGUACUAAGACAUCUUGGAUUAAAAUUUUCCUUUCCUUCUUCCCCAAGUAUGUUUGAGCUUACUGAGUUAUUCAAGGAUUCUCCAAUCACUCAAGAAAAUGUUGCUAGGUUAGUAAGUGGGUCCAAUUGUUGAAGCAUAAUUUCUGGUAGAAUAAAGAUUUAUUGCCUUGCUAGAUGCAUGGCAUUGUAUAUCACUAGAUAUUGAAUUGUAUAAGAAAUAAUGUGGGUUUUCUUUUUAUCUGUUUGAAUCUUUGAAUUAAGAUUGGUGCAUUUGAUUGUUUAGAAUUUGGAUUAUAUAUAUCAAUAGUCUAUAUUGCUAUUAGGUUUUAUCCCUUGUAUAUCUUUACAUAUGCAAGUAAGCAAGGUUAUGUCCACAAUAGGCUAUGAUGAAUUAUCGAAUGAUCAACAUCUUCCAUUGUGAACAUAGUUUGUGUGAUACUAAGAUAUCUUGAUGAGGUAUUGUUUGAGAGCUUGGUUUUAGACAUUCAACAUGCUCUAGAAAACAGUUGAGACCCUUUGAUGAUUUGCUUGAUUCUCUCUGUUACCUUUGGUAAUAAGGGUUUAAGUCUUGAUAUAGGGCUGGGUAUUGUUCUAGGGCCAGGUCAGACACUACCAAGGUGCUCUUAUUCUAACACUUGGGAAAGGUUGGCAUCUAAGUGAUUCAUUUUGAUGUCCUUUUCUUUUUUUUAAAAAAAAAUUGUUUAGAGGUUUUUAGAGUUGCUUGUCAAAAUUUUGGUUAGGUCUUUUGAGCCAAUGAUUGGGUCCAUGCCUCUAUGGUGCCUAUAUUGGUAAUGGCACCAGUGGUUUGGAAAAAAAUAAAAAAAUAACAAUAAAUUUAAAUGAAACAUCAACAGUCAAUCAUAUCAUGAGGUAAACAAUCAUGAAUUUAAGUAAAAAAACAAGAAAGCCUCUAAACAGCCAUCAAAAAUUAAAAAGAAGACAAAGGGGCAUCCUAGUGAAAAACAGGAUGCCAGCCUAUUCCAAUUGUUGGGACACAUCAAUCCUGAUCUAUCCCUGGCGAGGAUGGAACAGGACAGAUUGGGAUGGCCUAGUUUGGAGAUACCUAGGGUCUUUCCCCUAUCCCAAGAACCUCUCUC